GACGAACGCUGGCGGCGUGCUUAACACAUGCAAGUCGAACGGAAAGGCCCUGCUUUUGUGGGGUGCUCGAGUGGCGAACGGGUGAGUAACACGUGAGUAACCUGCCCUUGACUUUGGGAUAACUUCAGGAAACUGGGGCUAAUACCGGAUAGGAGCUCCUGCUGCAUGGUGGGGGUUGGAAAGUUUCGGCGGUUGGGGAUGGACUCGAGGCUUAUCAGCUUGUUGGUGGGGUAGUGGCUUACAAAGGCUUUGACGGGUAGCCGGCCUGAGAGGGUGACCGGCCACAUUGGGACUGAGAUACGGCCCAGACUCCUACGGGAGGCAGCAGUGGGGAAUAUUGCACAAUGGGCGGAAGCCUGAUGCAGCAACGCCGCGUGCGGGAUGACGGCCUUCGGGUUGUAAACCGCUUUCGCCUGUGACGAAGCGUGAGUGACGGUAAUGGGUAAAGAAGCACCGGCUAACUACGUG
rnacentral:rRNA from 1 species